UUGAGAGCCUCCUUUGCACUACAACCGUUUCAUAAAAUUAUUUAAAAAUUCCACAAAAAAUUGGAGAUGUCAAGGGAUAUUUAUGAUUCACUUUUAUGCAAAAUCUCAUGGUUGUCCUUUCAAAAAUUCAUGCAGCACUUCCUCAUUUCCAUUAUUGACCGGAUUCGCAUUUUGAACAACAGCCCUAUUUUAUCUUGCUCACAUGGCCCUAAAUUUUUUCAACUUAUAUAUCCCCCUACCAAACCCUUAAGUCUAGAAGUUGAGCUCCAUUGAAUUAUUUUAAGUGCAUGGAAUAACAGCCUACAUUUUCUGACCAGAUUUGUUUUUCUCCAAAAUUUGCAUUAGCAAGUUUUUGUUUUUGCCAAACUAACCUCACCACUAUCUUUAGCAUCUAAAGCAACCUUAGCCCCCCAAUUUUCAUUGUUAGAAAAUUCCCUUAGGUGGGUCUGGCAUUUUGUUGAAUAGGUGUCGCGCAUGCUCUGUGUGUGGCUAGAGCGCAAGUUCUGCAUGCACUGCCCCCGAGUUGCUGCGUCCACCUGCCCCCGCCCAUGUGGCCGCCUGUAGUGCACACAUGUUGCAUGCCAGGCUGACCGCGUGUCGCCACUACCCUGUACCGCUCAGAGCAUCAGCCACCGCAACCCUGGUGGCUAGCCGGCUUCUGCUUCUAACGCAAGAGUGGCCAGCAUCCCCCAAGCCUUCCCCAUGCGCGAGCUAACCCCCUGGACCACUGUUGCAUCAGUCUGGUAACUCCAAACCCCACCAAACUAGCCCUACCUCCCCGGCCAUCGCCAGAAUUUGCGUCGGCGAUCUUAUCCUCGGGCCGCAACGGAACCACCACUGCCUGGCUAUAAAGGGAGGCCCCGAGAACACCCAGUAACCCACCAACACCCUAGACCUGCAGCCAUCUCCCCCUAGCUCCAAUUUGGUCGGAGCCACCUUCCUUGCUCGCCUCCGGCAGUUUCACCGCCGCCAAUGUCCGGCCGAAUUCCGACGAACCCUAGACUGAACCAACCGACCAUAGCCCCGGUAUGUUUGCCCACGACACUACAACCCAUCCCCAUGCCCAUUUCCAUAGGUGGCAAGCCGCAGGUGGAGCUAUGAUUGCCGAAGGCAUCCAUCCGCCUGGUUGAAGUCGUGCUCAGUCCCGAGCUCUCCAGCAACCCCAACACCCUCUAGAAGACGAACCCCUUCCCCUUGAUCACGUUGGUGUGCCCAGCCCGAACAACGCUCGACUAUGGCAAUUAUCGCAUAUCUGGAGAGGAGCACGAUGAUAGUAACCUCGGAACCUGAGAGUUGAGGAUAGUAUCCAUGUGAGAUAGGAAGUAUCCAGGUCAACUGUUCUUGUGGCAACGGAGCCCAUGAACACUGGAGAUUCCACGAGUCGCUUCCGCCGUCAGUCUCUAGACAUUUUUGUCCAACCUCCCCUCAUAGACCUUCAUGGUCUUGUACCCAAAUUCUGUAUUUGCUUCGUAUAUCAGUAUAAAGUGAGUGUUCACCAGCUAA